rnacentral:rRNA from 1 species
GAUGAACGCUGGCGGCGUGCCUAAUACAUGCAAGUCGAGCGAACAGACGAGGAGCUUGCUCCUCUGACGUUAGCGGCGGACGGGUGAGUAACACGUGGAUAACCUCCCUAUAAGACUGGGAUAACUUCGGGAAACCGGAGCUAAUACCGGAUAAUAUAUUGAACCGCAUGGUUCUAUAGUGAAAGACGGUUUUGCUGUCACUUAUAGAUGGAUCCGCGCCGCAUUAGCUAGUUGGUAAGGUAACGGCUUACCAAGGCAACGAUGCGUAGCCGACCUGAGAGGGGGGUCGGCCACACUGGAACUGAGACACGGUCCAGACUCCUACGGGAGGCAGCAGUAGGGAAUCUUCCGCAAUGGGCGAAAGCCUGACGGAGCGAAGCCGCGUGAGUGAUGAAGGUCUUCGGAUCGUAAAACUCUGUUAUUAGGGAAGAACAAAUGUGUAAGUAACGAUGCACGUCUGGACGGUACCUAAUCAGAAAGCCACGGCUAACUACGU